rnacentral:lncRNA from 1 species
AAAAAGAAUGAACUGAUGUGUGCUAGAAUUUACUUUGAAAUGCAUUAAAAAACAGAGACUGAUGAUGGAUAGAGGGAUGGAUAGAAAUGGAUAGAUAAUGAUAAAGCAAAUAUAGUAAAAUGUUAACGAUGGGAUCUAAGAGGUGUGUAUACAGAUGUUUACUACAAAAAGUUUCUCAACUUUUCUGUGUGUUUGAAAUAAUAAAAUCAUGAAAUAUUUAAAAUAUACCAUAAUGAAAACAUAAAAUCAAACACUUAGAAUCUCUCUCCUACUCCCUCAAAAGAAUUACUUUUCAGUACAGUUUUGUCACUUUCUAGUGACAAUGAGGAAGCUGCUAAAACUUCCGAACUGUGUUGCCACCUAGGCUAAAUUGUAAAACUGGACAAAAUCAACAGUUUCCAGAACUAGGGGUUAAUCAAAAGUCAACAUGGCAGAUUUGCAUCCAAGAUGGAGUUACUUUAGCCUUGACACCAUCAUUAUAAUCUGAACCAUUCUGUGCCUCAGUUUCCUCAUCUGUAAAAGAGACCAAUGAUAUAAAACUCUUAAAGCUACUGCAAGAUUAAAGGAAUUAUGUGGUUUAACCUGGCACAUAGACACUAUGUAAGUGUGAAUCAUUAUCCUUCAGUGAACAAACAACUUUUGAAUACCAAGUGUCUGGCACAACAGUGCUGGGAUACAAAGUUAACUAAAACAUGGUCUCCACAUUCAAGGAGAUUAGAGUCACUUCUUUAUUACUUAACUAGUUUCUUUCUGCUUUGAAUAACGCCUCUUGCCUCCUACAAUGACAUACAUUUUCUGUUCUUGUCAGGUUUUUAUAAUUUUUGAUGAUAAAAAAUAAGUAAUGUUAAAUUUUUUUUUUUUUGAGAUGGAGUCUUGCUCUAUCGCCCAGGCUGGAGUGCAGUGGUGCAAUCUUGGCUUACUAACCUCCGUCUCCCGGGUUCAUGCCAUUCUCCUGCCUCAGCCUCCCAAGUAGCCGGGACUACAGGCGCCCGCCACCACGCCUGGCUAAUUUUUUAUAUUUUUAGUAGAGAUGGGGUUUCACCAUGUUAGCCAGGAUGGUCUUGAUCUCCUGACCUUGUAAUCCGCCCGCCUCGGCCUCCCAGCGUUCUGGGAUUACAGGCGUGAGCCACCACACCCAGCCAGUAAUGUUUAAAUUUUACUACAAAUUUAUUGCGUGUCCUUCUGUUCAGGGUCAGAGUGGCCCUUAAUUUUGUGUAUUUAGUUUUUUUAAAUUUAAUUAAAAAAAUAGUGAUGGGGGUUCACACACACACACACACACACACACACACACACACACACACAACAGUUUUCAAAUGUCAUUUUAGGUGUUGGAAGCUUCAGAGUCAUUUUUGAGCCCCACCCUAGACCUAUAAAAUUACAGUUUCCUGGGAGGGGUAACAUAGGAAUUUUUAUUUUUACACAAGCACCUUAUGAAGUUUUCAUACUAGUCAGGUUUGGAAACGCCUGGACUAUAGUCUUUUUCCAUUCUGCAGUGAGUACUUGUUUUUACAAGAACACGUGCUCUUAAAUUUUUCAAGCACUAGGAUCUUGUAAAAAUAUAGAUUCUGGGAGUGGAAUCCUCAUAUUUUGCCUUUGACAGGUUCCCAGCUCUGAGGCUGAUGUUGCUGAUGCCCAGACCAUACUUUGAGAAGCAAAGAGCUGGAAGAUAGGAAGCAAAAGCAAGGGACCCCACCAUUCUUUCAUGGGCUUUGUUCUUCCUGCCUGGCCAAACCACAUUCAUAGAAAGUAAAGUAUGUUGAAUAUACACUUUCUUAAUUUCACAUGGAAGAAUUCUAAGAAAAAUUCUAUUGCCUUUUUGGUGUGAGCAGUCAUUAUUUAUGGAGAAAAGUUUCGACAUGGUGUAUAGUUGAAAGGCUUGGAUACAUGAUUGGCUUACUUUUUUUUUUUUUGAGAUGUAGUCUUGAUCUGUCACCCAGACUGAAGUGCAGUGGCAUGAUCUCUGCUCACUGCAACCUACCUCCACCUCCCAGGUUCAAGCGAUUCUCCUGCCUCAGCCUGUGAAGUAGCUGGAACUACAGGCACCUGCCACCAUGCCCAGCUAAUGUUUGUAUUUUUAGUAGAGAUGGGGUUUCACCAUGUUGGCCAGGCUUAUCUCGAACUCCCUACCUCAAGUGAUCCAUCUGCCUUGGUCUCCCAACGUGCUGGGAUUACAAGCAUGAGCCACUGUGCCCAGCUGAUUCACUUACCUUUGAUGCUUUCAGGCAAUCAGAAGAAAAAUCACCGGGCCACUUUGGAGUAAAAAUAGACACCUUAAUCAGAAUCAGAAGCUAUAGCUAUGAUAAGGGUAAACACAAGACUGCAGCCUGAGAUUAAAAGACAAAAUAAUGGACUAAACAAACAAAAAACAGUGGUAACUAACUGAAAGUUCAAUAAAAUGCUUGGAAAGUUCAUUUGCUUUCCUCCUUGCUUUCAUAUGCUACCUCAUUUACAUUUCUAAUCACAUUUUUGCAAACAUUUAUAGAGAAUUUUUUAUGACCCAGUCCCUGUGUUAUGUACUUACUUUACUUUAUUUUAUUUAUUUUUUUUUUUUGUAGAGACAGGGUCUUGCUUUGCUGCCCAGACUGGUCUCGAACUCCUGGCUACAAGUGAUCCUCCUGCCUCGGCCUCCCAAAGUGCUAGGAUGUCAGGCGUGAGUCACUACCCCUAGCCAGUUAUGUAUUUAUUAAGCACCUACUAUAUAGUAGACACUGGGAAUAGAGCAAAGGUGACAAGAAAAAUAAAACAAAGAAAUAAGCUCUCCUGAGGUUUACAAUCAAGUGAGCAGACAGUUGUUAAUCAAAUCAUCAGAAAAAUAAACAUGUGAUUGCAAAUGUGACAACUGUAUGAGGAAAAACUUAUAGUGCCGUGAAAAAGUUACAGGGACACUGCCUUAGAACAGAGUCACGCCAGGCUUUUCAACACAAGUGGAAGUCGAGCCAACAUCUAAAACUUGAAAAGAAAAUACCAGUUGAGGCCGGGUGCGGUGGCUCAGAGUUUGAGAAGACUAAAGGAGGAACAUUGUCUCAGACAUCCUUUACAAUAACCCUAAGGUACUUCCUGUUUUAUGCUUGAUGCCCCUGAAAUCCUAAGGGGUUAAGGAAUUUAAACAAGGGGUUAAAAGAACAAGGAAAAUCAGACAUUAGUAAGUGUCUGAUUUGAACUUUGAACUCCUAUCUGACUUCAUAGUGUGACUUGUAGCCACUACACUGAACUCCCCCUCAGAGGUGUAAUUUUAUUAAUUUGGUAUUAAUGUUCAGAGGGAACAUGGUGUAGUAAGAGGAAGGCUUAGGUCUAAGGACCCAGGUUCUAGUUCUGUCUUUUCUCGGUACCCCUCUAACAGCAGAGCAGUAGCUCUCAGUUGCAGAAUCCCUGAAGGCCUCUAAGGGAACUUCCUUGUCAUACAACAGAUCUACUGAGUUGGAGUUGUUACCAUAUGCGAAGGCAGGUCCAGCAUAAAUCGAUCUGAUUCUUUUAAGCAAAGCUGUCGGUUGGAUUUAUUAAAUGUAAAAUCUCCAAAUUUUUUAAAUGUUGGCAAGGAAUUCUCAACUGUUUAAAAAAUAAACUUUAUGCCAGGCACGGUGGCUCACGCCUAUAAUCCCAGCAAUUUGGGAGACCGAGGCGGGCGGAUCACGAGGUUAGGAGAUCAAGACCAUCCUGGUCA